rnacentral:lncRNA from 1 species
GGUUUGAAUACUUUCUGGUUUGAAUACUUCACUUUCUGGUUUGAACACUUUAAUUUCUUGUUUGAAUACUUCCUGCAUGACUAAUUAAUGUCCCAAUAUAAAUUAAGUCGUGCUGUUAAACCUCAGCCUGUGCGUGUGCAAACCGCCCUUCUUCAGCGUUUUUAUCUCGGAAUUCUCAGGGAGGGGGCACCGCCUGUUAUCUAAAAGCCACUUAGCCGAGCUGAGAUGUGAUGUCACGGUCUGGAAACACGCGGGGGAUUUUUGAGCUCAGCCUGCCGGGACACAGACGUGACUUCGCUGUGAUAAACCUCAUUAACGUCCCUAAAACCUGCGAGCAGCAGAGAUAACCAAGCUGGCCCGGGAUGAAGCCCCGCAGCCCCGCAGCCGCUCUUCUGCUCGGGUGAAGCUUCCCGGAGCUCCGGGCCGGGAUCCGCCGCUGAUUCAGCGCCGGGAGACGCUCCCGGCUGGAGCGGGGAGCUGGAGCUGCCCGCUGGCCCUCGGCAAGAGAGGGAAAACGGGAAUAAAGUAAUCCCACAGGCUGGAAUGUUUGUGGCUCACUCUGGGAUGCUGCUCGCUGCUGGCUCGCAGGAUCCCUCUCCUCCUCGGCUGCCAACUCCCUGUGCUUUUGAGCUCGUACUUUGCUAUCCAUAGAUUUUUUUUUUACCCUUUUCUGGAACAAAGCCGAGCAGGAUAACCCGCUGAUUGUUGGAUCUGUCCACACCAGCCCGGAAUAAAAUCUCGUUUUUUAAUGAAGCACGAAGGAAAGCCGGAGCUCAGCACAAUUCCCUGCCCGCCGGAGAUCCUAAUCUCGCUUUGCCAGCAGAGCAGAGCGGGCACUGCCGCUCCAUGAGCCGGCCCCGGCCGGGAGGCGAGCCCAGCCUGCUCCCGCAUUCCCGGCUCCCGCAUUCCCGGCUCCAGAAUUCCCUGGAUCCCGCAUUCCCGGCUCCCUCAUCCCCGGCUCCCUCAUUCCCGGAUCCCGCAUUCUCAGCUCCAGCAUUCCCGGCUCCCGGGCUGCCCCGACCGCCGAGGGAACGAUGGAAAAUCCCUGAGCCAGCGCCUGGAAAAUCCGUGCGGCAAAGGUACGUCCCUGUGUCUGUUUAACCCCCCAAAUCCCUUCUUUCUACUGCUCUUCCCUCUUGUUUCCCCUCUUGUUUUCCCUCUUGUUUUCCCUCUUGUUUUCUCCAUUGUUACAGCGGAAAAAAAAAAAAGCGAUUAUUUUUUUUUGGUCGAGAAGUCACUGGGGUUGACACGUGCUCAGCAAAACAAACCCGUGCCUGUGCGGGGUUAAAGGGAAAAUGUCGAUUUUCCCUUCGCUCAGCCCCGGCUCGGCGAUUCCAGCCGGAUUUGGGGACCCGUCGCUCCCCUCCAGCAGCAGAACCGGCCCCGCGGGAUGAGCCCCGGGGGGGUUUUCCAGGAGCCCCCCGUGUUUGGAACUCGC